rnacentral:lncRNA from 11 species
UACAUCUGUGAUAUUUUUUUUCUUUGUUCUGGUUCCUCUCUGGGUUUUUCUCAGCCUCCUGCCCUUAUUUUCUUCAAAGAUUUUUCUUACUGUCUUGUCUGCAACAGUGAUCACCUCUCCAGUCUGUCGGUCAAAUUCACUUGGAUUGUGUCUUGUCGUUUUUUCAUUGUCUAUUUUCUUGGCUUUAUUUGACUUUGGGAUUGGCUGCUUGACAGCCAUUUGCUUGACUUAUCAAUUCUGGCUAUGGUGACACGUGCCUGGAUUACAUUUAAUUCAGAUUACUGUGAUACUAUCUAUGUAAGGCUGCCUUUGGAAACUGUGGUGACUUCAGUGAGUCUCCAACACUGUGGACAGACUGCCGGAUGCGGUUGGUUGCAGAGAAGACAUCUCCCCUGUGAAACAGCUUCACUCAGUGGCAUCACCAUGAAGGAAGAAGCUGUCCUUCAUCUAAUGAAUCACCCUCAGAAGGAAGAACAUGCAUGCUCCGUGAGAUGUUUCUAAUCAGUGUGACACUUCAGGUAAGGUAUUUUAUGCAGCAUGCACUGACACACACAAAUGGCCUUGGGUUAUU